rnacentral:rRNA from 1 species
CCUACGGGGUGCAGCAGUGAGGAAUAUUGGUCAAUGGGCGAGAGCCUGAACCAGCCAAGUCGCGUGAGGGAAGACGGUCCUAUGGAUUGUAAACCUCUUUUGCCGGGGAGCAAAAAGCGGUACGUGUACCGCAUCGAGAGUACCCGGAGAAAAAGCAUCGGCUAACUCCGUGCCAGCAGCCGCGGUAAUACGGAGGAUGCGAGCGUUAUCCGGAAUGACUGGGCGUAAAGGGUGCGUAGGUGGUUUGACAAGUUGGUAGCGUAACUCCGAGGCUCAACCUCGGCACUACUACCAAAACUGUCGGACUUGAGUGCAGGAGGGGCAAUUGGAAUGCCUAGUGUAGCGGUGGAAUGCGCAGAUAUUAGGAGGAACACCGGUGGCGAAGGCGAAUUGCUGGACUGUAACUGACACUGAGGCACGAAAGCGUGGGGAGCAAACAGGAUUAGAUACCCCAGUAGUC